rnacentral:lncRNA from 1 species
AAUAGUCCAGAAGAACUUAGCUCCCCAGAGGCAGAACGGAAUGUCUAAACACUAUUCUUUGCUAAAUGGAACUGACAUUGACAUGACUGACUCCAGGUUGGGGAAACUGAACAUACCCGCCUGUUGAGGAUAGUUGCUAUACCUGGCUGGUUAAUUAGUUUGUUCAGCACAUGACAAACAGGUUCAGUGAGAAAUCUCAGAGUGCUUAUCUGUUCUGUAAAUAGAAAUCUUCAUAUAUAUAUAUAGUGGAUGUGACCAUGAUUGCUAGAGAAUCUAAAAUAAGGAACAUUGCUUUUAAGAGAGAGAGAGAGAGAGAGAGAGAGAGAGAGAGAGAGAGAGAGAGAGAGAGAGAGAGAGAGCUGUGAACCACAGGCAUGUGUGUAACUUUAAUCAGUGGUUCUCUGUGGAAGUGAGGCAGACGUUAUGCUAUUGUGACUGGGGAGAUGGCUCAGCAUGAACAGCACUGGCUGUGCCAGCUUAAGGAACCAGGUCUGGAUUUCCAUAACUAAUGGCAAAGCUGGAUGUAGGCAGCAUGAGGCCCUAAAAUCUCAGCACAGCUAGACUAAGGGAGCAGGCAGAGACGGGAGAAUUCCCUGAAGUUCCGGCUCUGGCCUACACAGAGGGGAACAACAGAUCUCAUCUCAAACAAGUCAAGGCAUCAUUGUACUGAAACAACAUCAAGGCAAAGCAUUGGACCACCAGGUGUCUCAGGCUAGCUCAUGCUGAUAAAAGAUGUGGAGGCAAGUAAGGAAGCACGAGAUUGACUCACAGGAACCACAGACCUUUCAUUUUCUGAGCCUGUUCUUCCCAGGAUCUGUUGCUGAUGACAAUACCAGGAGAGCAGAGUUUCAGAAGACCCACGGGGCUUGGCCCACUGCCUGGGAAGAGGCAUAGCCAGCCUGGGAAUUGAUUUGAAUGUAAUGAACCUUCUGUCUCAUCUGGUACUUUCAGAAGAAUUUGCAGAGUCAAUAUUGAGAUGAUCUAUCAUGGAGUGCUACCUUGAUGUGGAGCUACCUCUCCAGCCUUCUGUCUGCCUGCAGGUGUCUAUGCGUCCCACCAUGAUGACACUGUACUAAACCUCUGAAACGGUAAGUCAGCCUCAAUUAAAUGUUUUCCUUUAUAGGAGUUGCUGUGGUCAUCAUUUCUCUUCACAGCAAGAGGACACUAAGACAGUAGCUCUCAGCUCUGUGGGUCAGACCACACAGCCGGUCAUGGCUGGCUUCAUCUCUUGGGCUGGCAGAAGACUGAGGUUUGCCGAGUCUUUAUCUGGAUGCGAAUGUCUCUCUUCUAGGUUCAUUUCUAUUCUUGGCACAGUCCAGCUCCUGAGGUUAAGGGACUCACACGCAUGUUGGUAGUGGUUGUUGACUGAGGGCUACUUCUGACUUCCAGGGGCUGCUUGCAUUUCUCAGAGUGAGGAUCAACCGACUUGGGACUUUAAUCGCAUCUGUGAAAUUCUAUCACAACACCAGCUAGAUGGGUAUGUAUAGAACAAGCAGAAAAUGAGCAUCUUAUUUUUCUAUCCUAGAGUAUUGUUGUUGUCUUAAAUCAGGUGCAGCACUUAUUCAGAAGAUGUAAUAACACAGACAAGUCCUGAUUAUGCUAGUCAGGAAUCAGAACAUGCCAAGAGAAAAGCUAUUUGGAAUAGGGAGGCAACUGAGUCAGUGGGGUUUGGAUAACACUCACAUAAAGCCCCUGUAAUGUUGGGAUACCCAACCCUAGCACUGAGUAAGUAGAGACAGAGGGACCCUGAACUCAUUGGCUAGCCAAUUUUGCUGAAUGGAUGAGCCUCAGGCUCAGUGAGAGACCAUGUUUCAGAAAAUAAAGUGGAUAGCAAUUGAGGAAGAUAUUUGACAUUCACCUUUGAACUCCACAUGCACACACAUGUAUACCACAUGUGCACACACAUUCACUUACAUACACCACACACAGAGAGUUUAAGGAGAAAGUAGCUUUUCACUGUAUUUUGAUUUUGCAAUAAAACAACCUAAGUACUAGAAAGUUCUAGAGAAUUAGUGGGGACUAGGUGCCAGAAGCGUGAUGAAGAGUGAGGUCAUUCUUUCCAUGACAGAAGGUCAAGUAAUUGGAUGACUUUCAAGGGGAAAAAGUGGCUCAGAAAGAGUUAUGGCUUGAGCAAAGGGCAAGGUGGGGACUAACUGUGUCUUUGUUCCCAUGACGACAACCACAACACAAGGUCACUGGUAUUGGUGAUGGUCAACUUGCUUAAGCUGAGAAUGAUGGAUUGUGGUCUCAACAUGAGUGCAAAGGGGAAAAGGAGAAAUCCAGGUGGAAUUCCUUCUUCUUUACCUCCUUAUCACUUGAGAGGAAAAGGCCAUAAGGAUCAUGAUUUAGAAGGAGGGAUUGUGAAGAUGAACAGUGGGAAGUGCCAAACAGCUAAUGCAUCUGGAUGACUGAGAUGCCAGAGACUCGUGGCCAUGUGUGGGAACACCCUGAGCAUCGUUUUCCUGGCUUCCAGGAAGGAAGAUUGUCCUAUUCUUCACACCUUCCUCAGCCACUUCCCCUCUGCAAACUCUGAAGGACCGUUCCGAAGCCUCAUCAAAUGCAUCUCCCAAACAGCUCCAUCAUUCAUCAGCCGAGACAUCCAGGGAGAUGCAAGUCGGAAGGAGGGAAAGGGACCCAUCUUCACUAAUGAGAACUCCAGGAGAUACUGGCUGGCUGUGCACAUUUGUACCCUCUCCCCUUUUAUUGCAGGAAAGAAUUCAAGUCAGUCAAGCACAGUAAAGCUAAAAAUAAUGGAUCUGAAGAGAACUUAAAAUCUGUAUACCAAAUGUCACAGAUUACACUUGGAAAGAAGCCACAGAUGGAUGUGGAAAGUCGGGUUGCAUGGGAGCAGAGAGAGACCAGAAGAUGCUAGUCAAGCACUGCGCACUGACAAGAUGUGUGUUCAAAUCUGGAGGGCACAGCACGGAGCUCACAUCUAAAAAUUGUGGGUAAGUGCAUAUCCAUUGUGACUGGGCAGUGGCGAAUCUAAGAAGCGGUGCGACAGAGCUGUCAAACAAAGAAAGAACACAGAAGUCUGGAGAAGAGAAGUGGUGUCAGUGGAUGAGCAGAGAAUGAUGCCAUUGCACCCCUGCCAUUGUGUGUAGACCUUAGGUCAGACUCAGGACCGUGUGCCCAGGAGAUAGCAGAGCCCAGAGCAGGAUGAACACUUCUACACCAAUUAAGAUAAUCAAGACAAUCUCUCACAGACAUGUCCACCGACUAACAAUGAUAAAGGGCCACUGACUCAAUUAAGAUUUUUUCCCAGUUAAUUCUGAACUAUAUCAAGUUGACAACGUUAACUAGGAACAGCGAUGAUGAGAGAAAUGACUAUGGGGGGGGGGGACAGACACUGCAUGUUUGCUAUGCAUGGUGGGAGUCAAAGGGCAAGGAACAGGAAAUGGCUUCUCCAAGGCAGUAAAAUUUAAAAUGAGGCUUAAGGUUACCCGGUGAAGACCGUUUCUGACUAUGAGAACAUAGGCAACAUGGGUGGAAAAGAGUGGGUGUGGAAGGCAGUAGGUUUUGUGGGACAUGGCUAGGAGUUAAGACUUGCUGCCUUUUAGUAUGAAGAUAUGUCACAUCAUACAAAUUAUGGG